rnacentral:rRNA from 1 species
CUAGCUUCAGCGAUGGAUCGGUCGAUUCGCGUAUCGAUGAAAAACGCAGCAAGCUGCGUUAUUUACCACGAAUUGCAGACGCUUAGAGUGGUGAAAUUUUGAACGCAUAGCGCCGUUGGGUUUUCCCUUCGGCACGUSUGGUUCAGGGUUGUU